GGACUACAGGGGUAUCUAAUCCCGUUCGCUCCCCUAGCUUUCGCGCCUCAGCGUCAGAAGAGGUCCAGUACGUCGCUUUCGCCACCGGCGUUCCUUCCGAUAUCAACGCAUUUCACCGCUCCACCGGAAGUUCCACAUACCCCUACCUCCCUCCAGACCAUCAGUAUCCAAGGCACUUUUCCGGUUGAGCCGAAAGAUUUCACCCCGGACUUGACAGCCCGCCUACGCGCCCUUUAAGCCCAGUGAUUCCGAACAACGUUCGCACGGUUCGUCUUACCGCGGCUGCUGGCAC
rnacentral:rRNA from 3 species